GAUCAUGGCUCAGGAUGAACGCUAGCUACAGGCUUAACACAUGCAAGUCGAGGGGCAGCAUGGUCUUAGCUUGCUAAGGCUGAUGGCGACCGGCGCACGGGUGAGUAACACGUAUCCAACCUGCCGUCUACUCUUGGCCAGCCUUCUGAAAGGAAGAUUAAUCCAAGAUGGCAUCAUGAGUUCACAUGUUCACAUGAUUAAAGGUAUUCCGGUAGACGAG
rnacentral:rRNA from 1 species